CCUACGGGAGGCAGCAGUGGGGGAUAUUGCACAAUGGGGGGAACCCUGAUGCAGCGACGCCGCGUGGGUGAAGAAGCGCCUCGGCGCGUAAAGCCCUGUCAGCAGGGAAGAAAAUGACGGUACCUGAAGAAGAAGCCCCGACUAACUACAUGCCAGCAGCCGCAGUAAUACGUAGGGGGCAAGCGUUAUCCGGAUUUACUGGGUGUAAAGGGGGCGCAGACGGCGAUGCAAGCCAGGAGUGAAAGCCCGGGGCCCAACCCCGGGACUGCUCUUGGAACUGCGUGGCUAGAGUGCAGGAGGGGCAGGCGGAAUGCCUGGUGUAGCGGUGAAAUGCGUAGAUAUCAGGAGGAACACCGGUGGCGAAGGCGGCCUGCUGGACUGCAACUGACGUUGAGGCCCGAAAGCGUGGGGAGCAAACAGGAUUAGAUACCCGUGUAGUC
rnacentral:rRNA from 1 species